ensembl:lncRNA
CUCCUCCUAAUUCUUCCCCGCGCGCCCGGCGGGGCCGGAGAGACCGAGAGGUGGCUGCGGGGAGGCGUAACGGGGAGCCGCGGCUCGGAGCCGAGGACGCCGAGCCGGGACCGGGGAACCUGGGAAGCACACUUGAGUCACAGCUGGCCUGUGGUUUUUACAUCUCAUCAGGGACCACUCUCUUCACAGCCUUAUCUUCGCUCCUCCCCAUACAGGUGGCAGUUUUCUGAAGUUGCUCAUUGAGACUUCUCAGCAUUCCUACAGAUAUAAUAGGUGAGCAGUGGCUAGCAUUGUCCUGAAGAAGUGAAGUGAAGUGAAGUCACUCAGUCAUGUCCGACUCUUUGCGACCCCAUGGACUGUAGCCUACCAGGCUCCUCUGUCCAUGGGAUUUUCCAGGCAAGAGUACUGGAGUGGAUUGCCAUUUCCUUCUCCAGGGCAUCUUCCCAACCCAGGGAUUGAACUCGGGUCUCCUGCGUUGCAGGCAGACGCUUUACCGUCUGAGCCACCAGGGAAGCCCAGGCAUUGUCCUAGUCCCUGGGUAAAUCACAAAUUAGAUCUUGGUUUUUACGGAUACAGGUUAUUUUACAUCAUUGGGCCCAGUUCACUGAUAAUAUCCCUCAGUGGGUAAUUAGAAACGUGUCAUUCUGCUGAGAGCUUUGCCAGUAAACCCAAUGACAGCGGCAAGGUUUGCAGUGUUUGCUUUGAUGGGCUUCUGGGUGAAGGUCGCUGCCGUCGCAAGCUGCUCCUGCCCUGUGCCCCUGAGAAGUUCUGGGCUGUUGGGCUUUGGGCUGGCAGCCCUGUCAGUGCAUCAUGCAGCGGGCCGGUCCCCUGGGCCACCCCGGGACGAGGUUUCCGCUGCACUUG